rnacentral:rRNA from 1 species
UACGUAGGGGGCAAGCGUUGUCCGGAUUUAUUGGGCGUAAAGAGCGUGUAGGCGGUUUGGUAGGUCCGCUGUGAAAACUCGAGGCUCAACCUCGAGACGCCGGUGGAAACCAUCAGGCUAGAGUCCGGAAGAGGCGAGUGGAAUUCCUGGUGUAGCGGUGAAAUGCGCAGAUAUCAGGAGGAACACCAAUGGCGAAGGCAGCUCGCUGGGACGGUACUGACGCUGAGACGCGAAAGCGUGGGGAGCAAACAGG